rnacentral:rRNA from 1 species
AUGGGGGAUUCUGUCCUUUUUUGGUUUGAUGCCUGGGUGUUCCUAGGCUCAUCUGUCCCACUCAGAGAAAGAUUUCCGCGGUUGUUCUCUUUUGUCAUUGAUGACAAAGUGUCUGUUCGUGAGGUGAUUAACACUCUGGACAUGUCUGAGCUUUUUUAUCUACCCUUAUCACCAGAAGCAAUGGCUGAGCUGACCACUGUCCAUGCUGGUCUUCUUGACCUUAAUUUUGAUGAACAGAUUCACGAUUCUUGGUCUUGGACACCUGGCAAAGGUAUUUUCUCUGCAAAGAGUUAUUAUACUGUGAUGCAUGCUCAC